rnacentral:tRNA from 1 species
AUUAAGGUAAACUAUAUAGGUUAUUGGGUUCAUACCCCGAGUGAAGAGAGAUUCUCUCCUUAAUU